rnacentral:rRNA from 1 species
ACUACGGGGCGCAGCAGUGAGGAAUAUUGGUCAAUGGCCGGAAGGCUGAACCAGCCAAGCCGCGUGAAGGACGAAGGUGCCAAGCAUUGUAAACUUCUUUUGUCAGGGGACAAAAUCAGGUCCGAGAGCCUGAUCGCGGGUCCUUGAAGAAAAAGCAUCGGCUAACUCCGUGCCAGCAGCCGCGGUAAUACGGAGGAUGCGAGCGUUAUCCGGAUUUAUUGGGUUUAAAGGGGGCGUAGGCGGGCGGUUAAGUCAGCGGUAAAAGCCCGGGGCUCAACCCCGACGGUCCGGUGAAACUGGCUGUCUUGAGAUGUCGAGAGGUAUGCGGAAUGCGCAGUGUAGCGGUGAAAUGCUUAGAUAUUGCGCAGAACUCCGAUUGCGAAGGCAGCAUACCGGCGGCGAUCUAACGCUGAGGCACGAAAGCGUGGGUAUCGAACAGGAUUAGAUACCCGUGUAGUC